rnacentral:misc_RNA from 1 species
CGGGAACUUUCCGCUCUGCUCCAUUUGCGCCCGAGCCUAUACUUGUCAUUAUAAAGACAAGCGCGACGCGCUCCGGGCUCUGUUUUUCUUCUCCAGUUUUCGCAUAACGGGGCUUUGAAACACCAUUAUUCUGCGUUGAUUCUUCUAAAGGCUUUAGACCCAAUCGAAUUGAUUGAUAUAUAGACUUGUACAUAUUCCGCUUCUUUAUCUCUCUCCUUGGAUAUAUAUAUAUAUAGAUACUUUGACAGUAAACGUACUCCUCCAUGGACGAAUCAUCGAGCGAGGCCCAAGGCCACGCUGCAGGUGCUCCUUCUUCUCUUACAGUGAAUACUCACUCGACAUCCCAAUCGCAAUCGCAGCAGGAAAGAGGAGUCGGGGAAGACGAGGAAGAUGGAACUACCAAGGAAGAGGAAGAAUUGCUGGACAAGGCACAGAAAUUGAUGGAUAAGAUCACAUCUUCCCCGGAUAACCCUAAGCCUACCGUCCUCCACGCCCUUUCCUCUCUCCUCGAAGCUCAGGAGUCUCUGUGUACAUGGAAAAGAGUGGCCAUUCAUCUUUUAAUAAUAAUCGUGCUUCUCACAGUAUUGGACGGCUUGGGAACUUAGUGCGGGAUAAUGAUGAAUUUUUUGAAUUGAUAUCUUCAAAGUUUCUUUCUGAAACUAGAUUUUCAACCUCUAUUCAGGCAGCUGCUUCAAGGCUUCUCAUGAGCUGUUCACUAACUUGGAUUUAUCCACAUGUUUUUGAAGAACCUGUAUUGGAAAACAUUAAAAGCUGGGUGAUGGAUGAGACUGCUAGAUUUUCUGGUGAGGAUCGCUACUGGAAGCAUGAUAUGGGAGAAAAGGAGGCCACAGAUUCUGAAAUGUUGAAGACCUAUUCAACUGGACUUCUUGCUGUAUGCUUGGCUGGUGGUGGUCAAAUAGUCGAGGAUGUGUUAACAUCUGGAUUGUCUGGAAAGCUUAUGCACUUUCUUCGCAUUCGUGUCCUUGGGGAGACGAGUACAAACCAUAAAGAUGCUACUUAUUUAACUGAAAGCAAGAAUGUGUCUUCUGCUUCAUGUGUUAGAGGCAGAGAAGAAGGUAGGGGUAGGGUGCGGCAGGUUCUGGAGGCUACUCAUGUGGAUAAUUCGAAGGUAACAGAUGAGAGGGCUUUGGAUGAUCCAGUCAGUGUAGAGCCACUUGAUAGGUUACCUGAUGGGUUUGAUAUGAUUGAUGCUGAUGGUGGGGACAAAUUACAAGAUCGAGACCUGCGAGAUGGAAAAAUAAAAUUUGGAGAUUUUGAUGAGAGUGGAAGAGAUGACUCAUCGAGACGCAGGCCUUCACGUGGAUGGCCAAGGCCUAGAGGGAAGGGAAGAGGUAAUGAGUCUUGUUUUGAGAAUGAACAGGUUUUGACAUCUCUGGGAUCUGGUAGCCGAUCAGGACAGGGACGAAGUUCUAGAGAUAGGAAUUUGAUGAAAAAUUUAGAUUUGAGAAGAGGACAAGAUGCGAGAAAGUGUCCAGGAAAUAUCAAUCCUGAUGGUUUAGCUGUGGAAAGAGAGAAUACUGAUGAUUGCUUUCAGGAAUGCAUAAUUGGAACCAAAGACAUUUCUGAUCUGGUAAAGAAAGCAGUUAAAGCUGCUGAAGCUGAAGCUAGAGCUGCGAAUGCACUUACUGAAGCCAUCAAAGCAGCUGGUGAUGCUGCUGCUGAAGUUGUCAAGAGUGCAGCCUUAGAGGAAUUUAAAUCUUCCAACAAAGAAGAAGCUGCAGUUUUAGCUGCUUCCAGAGCUGCAUCUACUGUUAUUGAUGCUGCUAAUGCAAUUGAAGUUUCGCGGAACAGUAGCAUCAAUGAUGACUCAGUGGCUCUUGGUGGUACAGAAACAGAAGCACUCAAGGAUGCUGAAGAAUAUUAUAUCCCUGAUUCUGAAUCACUUGCACAAAUUAGGGAAAAAUACUGCAUCCAGUGCCUUGAGAUAUUAGGAGAAUAUGUAGAAGUUCUUGGGCCUGUCCUGCUUGAAAAGGGAGUAGACGUGUGUCUUGCACUAUUGCAGCGCAGUUGUAAACACAAGGAAGCAUCAAAGGGAGCAACACUCUUGCCUGAUGUGAUGAAGCUCAUCUGUGCUUUGGCUGCUCAUCGGAAAUUUGCCGCUUUAUUUGUGGAUCGAAGUGGCAUGCAGAAAUUGCUUGCUGUUUCUAGGGUAGAACAAACAUUCUUUGGUCUGUCUUCGUGCUUAUUUACCAUUGGUUCUCUUCAGGGGAUAAUGGAACGUGUAUGUGCACUUCCUUCAGAUGUUGUCAACCAAGUGGUUGAGUUAGCUAUUCAACUUAUUGAUUGCCCUCAGGAUCAAGCCCGAAAAAAUGCAGCCUUAUUUUUUGGUGCUGCAUUUGUCUUCAGAGCUAUUAUUGAUGCUUUUGAUGGUCAUGAUGGUUUACAGAAGUUACUGGGCCUUUUAAAUGAUGCUGCCUCAGUAAGAUCUGGUGUUAAUUCAGGUGCAUUAAACCUGUCUAAUUCAGCAGCUCUUCGUAAUGAGCGCUCAGCAACAGAUGUAUUGACAUCAUCGGAGAAGCAGAUAGCUUAUCACACUUGUGUUGCUUUACGACAGUAUUUCAGAGCACAUCUUCUUUUGCUCUUGGAUUCCAUUCGUCCCAAUAAAAACAACAGAAGUGCAGCUCGAAAUGUUCCAAGUGUAAGGGCUGCAUACAAGCCUCUUGACAUUAGUAAUGAGGCUAUGGAUGCAGUCUUUCUGCAGCUACAGAAGGAUAGAAAGCUGGGUUCUGCAUUUGUGAAGACUCGUUUUCCUGCAGUUGACAAGUUCUUAGCCUUUAAUGGGCACAUUACCUUGUUAGAAUUGUGUCAGGCCCCACCUGUUGAGCGGUAUUUGCAUGACCUGCUUCAGUAUGCAUUGGGUGUUCUGCACAUUGUUACAUUGGUAAAUGACAGCCGCAAAAUGAUUGUAAAUGGCACAUUAAGCAAUAAUCGUGUUGGCAUAGCUGUAAUUUUGGAUGCAGCAAAUAUUUCUGGUAAUUAUGUGGACCCCGAGGUAAACACUUCUUCUGUAAUAUUUUCCCUUAUCAUUACCAUCCCAUUGUCAUCAUGAUCACUAUUAGAAUAUUUUCUAUCAAUUUGUAAGAAAAAUUUUAGGCUGAUAUCUUACUAUUUUUGGCUCUUAUACUAAGUAAUGUCAUAUACAUAAUUUUUUUUCCUGUAUAUUUGCAGAUCAUACAGCCUGCAUUAAAUGUGUUAAUCAAUCUUGUUUGUCCACCCCCUUCAAUUAGUAACAAACCCCCUGUUCUUGCACAAGGCCAGCAGACUGUUUCUGGUCAACUUGCAAAUGCUGCUGGUUUGGAAACUAGAGAUAGAAAUACAGAACGUAGCCAGAGUGAACCAAGGGAGCGGAAUGGAGAGUCUAGUGUUGGUGAUCGAGGCAUUGCAGCAGUUUCUGCUGCUCGAUCCAUCAGUAGCACUUCACAAACUCCUGUACCUACUGCAACUUCAGGAUUGGUUGGAGAUCGAAGAAUAUUUUUAGGUACUGGAGCAGGUUGUGUUGGCCUUGCUGCACAAAUGGAACAAGGAUAUCGUCAAGCAAGGGAGGCUGUUCGUGCCAACAAUGGUAUAAAGGUUCUUCUCCACCUUCUACAACCACGCAUAUAUUCACCUCCUGCUGCACUUGAUUGCAUUCGUGCUCUUGCAUGCCGAGUGCUGCUUGGUCUAGCCAGAGAUGAUACAAUUGCUCACAUAUUGACUAAACUUCAGGUUGGAAAAAAGUUGUCUGAGCUAAUUCGAGAUUCAGGUAGCCAAACAUCUGGAAUUGACCAAGGUAGGUGGCAAGAACUUGCGCAGGUGGCGAUUGAACUAAUUGCGAUUGUAACAAAUUCAGGGCGUGCCAGUACGUUGGCCGCUACUGAUGCUGCUACCCCUACACUGAGGCGCAUAGAAAGAGCAGCAAUUGCCGCUGCAACGCCUAUCUCUUAUCAUUCUAGGGAACUUCUGCUCCUUAUACAUGAACACCUUCAGGCUUCUGGUUUGGCUGCAACUGCUGCCACACUGCUGAAAGAGGCUCAAUUGACACCUUUGCCUUCACUGGCAGCUGCAUCUUCCCUCAUGCACCAAGCCUCUACACAAGAAACUCCUGCAGUACAGCUUCAUUGGCCUUCUGGUCGAACACCUCGUGGAUUUCUUUGCAACAAAUCAAAAGCAAGUUUCCAUGCUGAUGAUCCCAGCUUGAGGUGUGACUCAGCUUUGUCUUCAAAGAAGAAACCACUAGUUUUCUCCCCAACUUUUGGUUUACAGUCAAGAAAUCAUUCUGUGUCCCAUGAUUCCAGUCAAUCAUCAUCCAAGAAGGCCUUAAACGGUUUCAAACAGUCUACUACUCCUGGAAAUUUAUUAGAAGCACCAUCAGAAUCCUUGCCAAAAAGUAAUCCUGAUACGGAGUCUUUAUGCAAAACUCCAAUCGUACUACCAAUGAAACGGAAAUUAUCGGAUCUGAAAGAUAUUGGAUUGGCCUCAUCUGGGAAGCGAGUCAACACUAGUGAGCAUGGACUUCGGUCUCCUGUUUGUUUGACUACCAAUGUUGUGCGUAAGAGCAGUUUGUUUGGAGAUGCUGUUGGGUUUUCUACUCCUAGUUCUAAUUUGAGGGAUUUACAUGGUCGAUCAACACCAAGCAGUUUGGUAGAUUAUGCAGAUGACAACCAAUAUACUAACCCUACCCAGCUUGGGCUUUCAAAUGAUCACCAACCAAACAACUCAGAGCGAUUAACUCUUGACUCUCUUGUUGUUCAGUACCUCAAGCACCAGCAUCGCCAGUGCCCAGCUCCUAUAACAACUCUUCCCCCACUCUCUCUCUUGCACCCACAUGUUUGUCCUGAACCAAAAAGGAGCCUUGACGCUCCAUCAAAUGUAACUGCUAGGCUUGGUACACGUGAGUUCAGAAGUAUAUAUGGUGGUGUUCAUGGAAAUCGCAGGGAUCGCCAAUUUGUAUACAGCAGAUUCAGGCUGUUGAGAACUUGCAGGGAUGAUGCUGAUGCCCUUUUGACAUGCAUAACUUUUCUUGGUGAUUCAUCUCAUAUUGCAGUUGGCAGUCAUACUGGAGAGCUUAAGAUUUUUGACUCUAAAAGCAACAGUGUGCUCGAGAGCUGCACAAGCCACCAGUCUCCUUUAACACUCAUUCAGUCAUAUCUUUCUGGUGAAACACAACUUCUGCUCUCUUCAAGUCCCCAAGAUGUGCGCUUGUGGGAUGCCUCUUCAAUCUCAGGUGGGCCUAUGCAUUCACUUGAAGGGUGCAAGGCUGCAAGGUUCAGUAAUUCUGGGAGUAUCUUUGCCACCUUAACAACUGAGCCAGCUCAACGAGAAAUUCUCCUUUAUGAUGUCCAAACCUGUCAUGUGGAGUCAGCCAUGUCAGAUUCAAUUUUGAGUUCUACAGGUCGGGGGCAUGUAUAUUCCCUUGUACACUUUAGCCCUUCAGAUACAAUGUUGCUUUGGAAUGGGGUCUUGUGGGAUAGGCGGCAGUCUGCUCCUGUUCAUCGCUUUGAUCAGUUUACGGAUUAUGGGGGCGGGGGCUUUCAUCCUGCUGGGAAUGAGGUGAUUAUAAACUCUGAGGUUUGGGAUCUCCGGAAAUUUAGGCUUCUACGAAGUGUACCUUCAUUGGACCAAACAGCAAUAACAUUUAAUGCAUGCGGUGAUGUAAUUUAUGCAAUCUUGAGGAGAAAUCUUGACGAUGUAAUGUCAGCAGUUCACACCCGUCGAGUAAAGCACCCCCUCUUUGCUGCUUUCCGCACUGUAGAUGCAAUCAAUUACUCAGAAAUUGCCACCAUACCAGUAGAUCGUUGUGUCCUUAAUUUUGCAAUGGAGGCAACUGAUUCCUUUGUUGGGUUGAUUACAAUGGAUGACCAGGAAGAGAUGUAUUCUUCUGCUAGGAUCUAUGAGAUUGGUCGGCGAAGGCCAACUGAUGAUGACUCUGAUCCUGAUGAUGCUGAAACUGAGGAAGAUGAGGAUGAUGAUGAUGAAGAUGAUAGUGAUUUGGAUCCCAUUCUGGGUCCAGACCUGGAAGGGGAUGGCGAUAGUGAGGCUGAUGAUAUAAGCAAUGAGGAUGAUGAUGAUAGUGUGAGUGAACUUGAUGAGGAUGACGGGGACUUCAUAAUGGAUGAUGUAGAUUUUGAUGGGGGAGCUGGGAUACUGGAGAUUGUGGCCGAGAGUGAUGAGGAUGAUGAUGACAGUC